rnacentral:rRNA from 1 species
AGGGGGGGCAAGCGUUGUUCGGAAUUACUGGGCGUAAAGGGCUCGUAGGUGGCCAACUAAGUCAGACGUGAAAUCCCUCAGCUUAACUGGGGAACUGCGUCUGAUACUGGAUGGCUUGAGUUUGGGAGAGGGAUGCGGAAUUCCAGGUGUAGCGGUGAAAUGCGUAGAUAUCUGGAGGAACACCGGUGGCGAAGGCGGCAUCCUGGACCAACACUGACACUGAGGAGCGAAAGCCAGGGGAGCAAACGGGAUUAGAUACCCCGGUAGUCCUGGCCCUAAACGAUGAAUGCUUGGUGUGGCGGGUAUCGAUCCCUGCCGUGCCGAAGCUAACGCAUUAAGCAUUCCGCCUGGGGAGUACGGUCGCAAGGCUG